rnacentral:rRNA from 1 species
UACGUAGGGUGCAAGCGUUAAUCGGAAUUACUGGGCGUAAAGCGUGCGCAGGCGGCUUUGCAAGACAGAUGUGAAAUCCCCGGGCUUAACCUGAGAACUGCAUUUGUGACUGCAUGGCUGGAGUGUGGCAGAGGGGGAUGGAAUUCCGCGUGUAGCAGUGAAAUGCGUAGAUAUGCGGAGGAACACCGAUGGCGAAGGCAAUCCCCUGGGCCUGCACUGACGCUCAUGCACGAAAGCGUGGGGAGCAAACAGG